GCCAUACGUUUGAGACGCUUUGUCCUCAACGCGUGGAUAUAGGCGUUGGGGGGUUUGCAAAUUCCCGCCUAUCCUCGAUGCUUAAAGGCGUCGUCAAGAUGCUUCGUUGCUUUUAGGCGUCGUUCAAGACACGUGCAGUGCACGUGUUAUGUUAAAUAGCGCAUCACCUUAGGAAUGCUCUACCAGAAGCAAAACCGCCUACUCUAACUUCCCACUUCAGUACUCCACGCACACACGAACCCUAAUUCUUCACAAUUCAAUCUCAGUCUCAAACCUAGCAUAAUUCACUGUUCAAUUCGUGCGCCCAGCAGGUAUGUCUCCGAUACUUACCGUAUUUUUCUUUUUUUUUUUUUUUUUGUUUUUCAUUUCUUCGAUUUCUUCAUUAAAUUGUUCAUCUUCAACCUCCUAUCAGUCUCAAAGCAAUUGCGAAGAUUUUCGCGAAAUCGAAAUAUUUGACAACGAAUUUCUGGAAAUUUCAAUACAAGUCGUCAGUAAAUGAUUGCCUUUUUUCUACAAUUCUGUAACAUUCUCAUCCGAUUUUCUAAUUUCCAUAAGAAUUCUGCAAUUUGACAUCGAAUUUCUUGAAAUUUCCAUGGAAGCUGCACACAUUACACAAUUCGACAACGAAAUUCUUUUUUGCUAGAUCUUAUUAAGUAGUUAGCGUUUUAAGGCUUCAAUUGGUGCUAAGGUCUGUGAAAAUCUUUCUGGGUUCUCUUUGUUUCUAUUGGAACUUUUCUAGACCCGUUUUCGUUUGUGCUAAUAUAGAAACAUAUUUGAUUUUAAUUUAGACAACUUAUUAUGGGGAAUAAAACCUGCAUUUUGUAGCUGAAAUAUAUACUUUUUUUUUAUUGUCAUGCUUUUUUUAUUAUUUACUUGCAGAUAGCAUAUAUUGGCCAGUUUUCGUUGUAGCAACUUUGGCCGCAAUUGUUGCUAGUCAGGCAACCAUAUCUGCGACAUUUUCAAUUAUAAAGCAGGCUCUUGCUUUAGGCUGCUUUCCAAUAGUGAAGGUAGUACACACUUCAAAGAAAUUUCUUGGGCAAGUAUACAUUCCAGAUAUCAACUGGAUUCUUAUGAUCCUUUGCAUAGCUGUAACUGCUGGAUUUAGGAACCAAAAUCAGAUUGGAAAUGCUUAUGGUUUUGAUAUUUUUCCUGGCUGGAGCAACCCAAAGUGGGAGAGGGAGGAUCACAUGCUUGUUGUAUUUUUAUUAAAAAAUUAAAGAGAUAAGCAGGCCGGAGUAUGCAUAUCGAACUGCAGGUUGACUUGGACUUGGGUAAUUACGAGCGUUUCCUUGAUGUGACACUCACACGAGACAACAACAUUACUACUGGGAAGAUAUAUCAGGUACUCGAAAAUAAUAAUAAAGGUCUAACAGAUCAAGAACAGGAGGACAUUACGUGAGGUUUCAAAUUGGCUACCAUCAUUGUUUUGCUAGAUCUUAGUAUUAGUUAGCUUUGUAAGGCUACAACUACAUUUUUAGUGUGUUUUAAUUUUGUGAUAUUUUUAGAAAUAUAUUAGUUAUGAAGUAUUAUUGAUGAACGUGUGUAGGGAUUUUGAUUGUAUGAA